GAUGAAGAACGUAGCGAAAUGCGAUAAGUAAUGUGAAUUGCAGAAUUCAGUGAAUCAUCGAAUCUUUGAACGCACAUUGCGCCCGCUAGUAUUCUGGCGGGCAUGCCUGUCCGAGCGUCAUUUCAACCCUCAAGCCCCCGGGCUUGGUGUUGGGGAUCGGCGAGCCUCCGCGCCCGCCGUCCCCUAAAUCUAGUGGCGGUCUCGCUGUAGCUUCCUCUGCGUAGUAGCACACCUCGCACUGGGAAACAGCGCGGCCACGCCGUUAAACCCCUAACUUCUGAACGUUUGACCUCGGAUCAGGUAGGAAUACCCGCUGAACUUAAGCAUAUCAAUAAGCGGAGGA
rnacentral:misc_RNA from 1 species